GGCUUGGCACCAAGAGGUAUCCCCCACAGCCCAACACACCGCUGUGGCAGACUGCUGCCAGAGUGCCUCUUCAGGUCUGACCCUGACCCAUCCCUCCUCACUGGGUGGGGCAGGAACUCUAGCAACUCCAGCCAGGGGUUCAGGGACAGAACUCUGAUCUCCAUAGGCCUGAGCCCUUAGGGAGAGGGGUGGCUGCAGUCUCCAUGGACCAGCAGACUUAGUCUUUCCUCCUCCUAGUUCUGAGGAAUCCAGGCAGCCCAGAUGAGGGGGUUUCCUCCCAGUGCAGCAAACCCCCUCCACCAAGGGACAGCCAAAGUGCUUCGUUAAAUGGGUCCUGCUCCCAGUGCCACUUAACUGGGUGAGACCCUCCAACAGGGGUUGUCAGACACCCUAUACAGUAGCAUUCCUACUGGCAUUAGGUUGGUGACCCUCGAGAUCAGAGAUCCCAGAGAAAGGAGUAGGCACCCAUCUUUGCUGUUCUCCAGCCUCUUCAAGGUGACAUCUCCAGGCAUGGGAGUGAACCAGAUGAAUAGGGCCUGAAGUGAACUCCCAGAAAACCGCAGGAUCCCUACAGAAGAGGGACCUGACUAUUGAAAGAAAAACAAACAAACAGAAAACAACAACAGCAGCAUCAACAAAAGAAGUCCCCACACAGACCCUCUUCCAAGGGUUAGCAGCCUCAAAGACCUAAACUAGAUGAACUCAUGAUGAUGAGAAAGAAUCGAUGAAAAAAUGCUGAAAACUCAAAAGGGCAGAGUGUCUCUUCUCCUCCUAAUGAUCACAAUGGCUCUCCAGCAAGGGCACAGAACUGGACGGAGGUUGAGAUGGAUAAAUUGACAGAAGCAGGCUUCAGAAAUCCAUUGGUGGGACAGAGUCGAAACUGGAUCUUUGAAGACCUCUAUUGUCACCUCUAUCAUUAUUCCUGCUCCAAUGACAAUGGAGAGCAUACUGUCAAAGUCCUCCAGCUAACCUUUGAAUGAGAGAAACUUCUGCUGAUGUCAAAUGACCACAAGGAUAUUAACAACUGGACUUGGAGCCUGUCGGCCGCUGUUGGAUACACCUCCUUUACCAAGGCGGCUUUCUUCACUACUGCCACUGACCUUGCAAACAGCUCCGACAAAGGUCGGAAUGGAUUCAUUGAUCAGCUAGACCGAGCAUAUGACAGUCUGUGCCUUAAUUGAAUCCCAAAAGGGGGCAGACUGGGUUUUUAUUACAGAGGCCAGCCGAUAGCACUCAUUAAAAGCUCCACAGACUGUGUGGUUUACUAAUUAGUUUAUUAUACAGACACCUUGACGAUGGGCAAAGUUGUCAUUUUGCCCUUUAUCGCACAGGGGAUGUUGUUAAAAGUUUAAUCAGCUAACACUGACCAAGUUAGCUUGGCAGGCUGUGGAUGGUCAUUACUGAGGUCACCCCUGCUGUAGCAAUUCUGACAGGGUCACAGCAUGAACUUACAAUAAAGAGAGUGUUACAUAAGGUAAGAGCGCACCUGAAAGGGACCCCAGAAAAGAGUUGUGCUCUGCGGGGAGUAUGAAACAGAUGGGCUGUUAGGACAAGUGAAUCCUUUUCAAGUUUACCUUCGCCUGCACUGUUUAACAUAUGCUUUCUUAAAAAGAUGAGGCAUACGACAGUCGUUUUGAUAUGUUCAUCAGAAAUAAGAUUGGGAACACGUUUUUCAUUUUGGCCAAAUAUAGGGUCACCUGAUAAAAAUGACUCUCCUGUGUUUUAUUUAAACCUUACGUAGUUCCAGAGAAGCAGAGGAGAUUAUGUUGGCCUGUUUAAACUUGCUCUAGAUAGAGCAAAGAAACAGUUACAGGCUAUUCUUAUUAUUAUUAUUUCUACUCAGAAAAUGAUUUUGAGCACUAGCCAAACCAAUAAAAAAUUAUCUAGUUUACCAACGUUGUCCCAUUUAUUCCGGGGAUUCUUUUUUCCUAAUGGGCUACUUUUUAGAAUAUAUAGUAUCUAAGAAAGAUUUUCUUCGUGUGUCUAAGGUUAUGCAGUGAGUGAAGUACAGGUAAUUUCACUUUAUGUAUUUGAAAAAGAAUCAGUAGAUGAAUGUAAUAUUAUAGUUAAAAUUUUUUGAGAAAUUCAAAAUAUAAUCUAUACAUAAAUAAAA
ensembl:lncRNA novel transcript